CCUACGGGUGGCAGCAGUCGAGAAUCAUUCACAAUGGGGGAAACCCUGAUGGUGCGACGCCGCGUGGGGGAAUGAAGGUCUUCGGAUUGUAAACCUCUGUCAUGUGGGAGCAAAUUAAAAAGAUAGUACCACAAGAGGAAGAGACGGCUAACCCUGUGCCAGGAGCCGCGGUAAUACAGAGGUCUCAAGCGUUGUUCGGAAUCACUGGGCGUAAAGCGUGCGUAGGCUGUUUCGUAAGUCGGGUGUGAAAGGCGCGGGCUCAACCCGCGGACGGCAGAUGAUACUGGGAGACUAGAGUAAGGGAGGGGGAACCGGAAUGCUCGGUGUAGCAGUGAAAUGCGUAGAUAUCGAGAGGAACACUCGUGGCGAAGGCGGGUUCCUGGACAUUAACUGACGCUGAGGCACGAAGGCCAGGGGAGCGAAAGGGAUUAGAUACCCUUGUAGUC
rnacentral:rRNA from 1 species